AGUGAACGCUGGCGGUAGGCCUAACACAUGCAAGUCGAACGGCAGCACAGUAAGAGCUUGCUCUUACGGGUUGCGAGUGGCGGACGGGUGAGGAAUACAUCGGAAUCUACUUUUUCGUGGGGGAUAACGUAGGGAAACUUACGCUAAUACCGCAUACGACCUACGGGUGAAAGCAGGGGAUCUUCUGACCUUGCGCGAUUGAAUGAGCCGAUGUCGGAUUAGCUAGUUGGCGGUGUAAAGGCCCACCAAGGCGACGAUCCGUAGCUGGUCUGAGAGGAUGAUCAGCCACACGGGAACUGAGACACGGUCCAGACUCCUACGGGAGGCAGCAGUGGGGAAUAUUGGACAAUGGGCGCAAGCCUGAUCCAGCCAUACCGCGUGAGUGAAGAAGGCCUUCGGGUUGUAAAGCGCUUUUGUUGGGAAAGAAAAGCAGCAGGUUAAUACCCCGCUGUUCUGACGGUACCCAAAGAAUAAGCACCGGCUAACUUCGUG
rnacentral:rRNA from 1 species